AGUACUUGUGAAUGUCUCCAGCACCGUUUCCCCACUGGAAGCUCCCUGAGGCAGUUUGGAAUGAAUGAACGUGGGAGCUGGACUUCUAGCUUCACCCUGGCUUCCUAUGGAGCAGUGCACCUCAAAGAGUGAGCCGGGAAACCUCAGCACCCGCAUCCCUGGGAGCCCGUGAGAAGCUCUCGAGAAUUCUCCAUGCACCUCAGACCUUCACCAUCAGAACAUCUGGGCUCAGGACGCAGCGAUCUGCGCGGACAGGCCCUCGGGGAGGUUUGCAUGCAUGGUCAGUCUGAGAGGCACCCAUCUGGAGAUCCUACUGUGGCCUAGACUGUGGCAGGUGCCCAGGAGGAACUCGAAUUUUUGGUGAAUGAAUGAAUCCAUGGACACAAGAUCACAUUUGGAGUUUACAGAAUUUCUCAGUAGAUUCUGGUUCUGAUGUCAAUUCCUUUCUUCCCUGCUCCCCUGGAAGAGGCUUUUGAAAGAAUUUCCCAAAUUAACUCAUGUUGCCAGUGGUCUGCAUCUGACUUACGAGGACAACUUCCUUAGAAGAAAAGGAAGAGUUCCUGAUUUCCUUGUAUCCGAAGGAGCUUACUUUUCGGGAGAACUUUGUACCUCCUAUCAGUGAGAAUUCUUUCAGUUGCAAGUGACAAGAAACCUGACCUGAACAGGCUUCAGCCAAAAAGGAAUUACGCUGGCUGGGGUCAGUCCGCAGCCCAGAGUAGAUUGGGUGUGGCUUCAGGUGCGGCUUGAUUCAAGCCUCAAGGGCUACAACCCAGGCCUUGUCUUUUCUUUUCUUUCCUAUGUGUUCUUCUCUUGCAAGAUGACUGCCAACAGCUCUAAAGGGGAGGGGCUCCUGGGUUCAUAUGCAGCAGAAAAAAGUGAGGACCUUUGGCUAGGUAUUCCCAGGCAGUCUUGUUGCGUCUCACGGUCUCUGAUUGCCACCCAGGAGCCUGUCCCCAAACCACCAUAGCUCCAAGGGGCGUAUGAUAUGCUGAUUGGCUUAAACUCAGGUCACAUGACCCACUGCAGAGCCAAUUAACUUCACCCAAAGCCAAUGAAAAUGGAGGACUGGAUGACCUCCUGAGGAUCUCCGGCCAGAUCUCUGCUACAGACUAGCUGUGUUGUUGUCAUUGAAAAGACGCCUGGGAAGUGGUGGCACAUAUAUCAUUUCUAAGGAAUCCUACAAAUAUCAUCAUACUUUCUUUUGGUGAAGAUUUAGCCGGAAGUAAAACUUUCCCAACUGGCAUGUCAUCAAAAGUACUGGGGGAUUUGGAUUCCAUAGGUUUGGGGUGGCACCCACUGAGUAUAAUAAAUCUGUUAAAUUCAAUCAUUUUUAAUACCAUCCCAGAUGAUUUGCAAGAUCAAAUGGAGUCGGGCACUCGCCCAUGCACCCCUGUUCUUGGCAGGGCCAGCUCCAGCCGGAAGUGGUCUCCGUCCUUCUGUGCCCUAUGUCGAGACCUGUAUAUUCUGCCUUAAAGUGUAGUGCUUCUGUAUGGGCUUUAUUUCCCCUUUUAAAACAAGAAACCUUGGAGCAUGGGGAUCAUGCUGGUCCUUGAGUCCCAAACCUUCACAGGCCCUCCUACCAUGCCCUAUGCAGAGGAGACACUCUAUUUAUUUCUGUUGUUUGGAUCAAAGUAUGAGUGAAUGGAACCCUUACACCUCCCCCUUUCUUCUCCUCUUUGUUUUUGGCAUUUUCUUUUCCACAAGAUGUCUGUCCUUGGAAAGCUCUAACAAACUCCAGCCUGAUUUGCUGACAAGGCCUUGAGAUGUUAUUUCUGCACGGUUGCUUGCGUUUUAAGAGGUUGUUGGAAGACAGGACAUUUUAAAGCCGUAAUGGUAAGCAGAAGCAGAAAGAAAGACCUAGGUUACAGAAUAUGGGGACUCUCCCCUUUCUGAGAGCUCCUUUAUUUCCUGAAUUAGAAAUAUGAGAAUGUUUCCUGUAAGUUCUCUGUUACAAAGUGAGGGCAGAAGCACAUGACAAUAAAAAUAGUACACCAAAAUUCAGGAGGAUGGGUAGGGAUUCCUUUUUAAAUAAGAUAGGAAGCCCAGAAAUCAUUAAAAAAAAGAAAAACAAAUAGAGAUUUGACUACAAAAAUUUAGAAAUAUCUGCAUGAAAAUACCUUACAUACCAUUGAUAGAUGACAGGAGAAAAAAUGGAUAAUGUUUACUGCCACAGGAGUUUACUUGACAAGUGCUUACAAUUUGAUGUGAGAAAGCUAACAUCCCAAAAGAAAAAUGGGCAAAGGAUAUUGGGUGUAAAUAGGUGAUUUAUAAAAGAGGAAAUAAAAAUGGCCACCGUGUAUGAGAACAGGCUGACCCUCACUUUAGUCAGAAAGACAAAAGCAAAAUUAACCCACAUGUUAGUUUUUACCUGUCCAAUUCACAAAGUUUGAAACAAUCUGUAACACGUAGAGCUGGGAGGUUGGUGAAAUGGGCAUCUUAUGCAUUGCCCUUGGGGGUAUGCAUUGCUGUAAAUGUUUACCAAAGUUUUUUGGAAAUAUCUAUAAAAUAAAUGAUGUUUAUAGCCUUUGACUGAA